rnacentral:rRNA from 1 species
UACGUAGGUGACAAGCGUUGUCCGGAUUUACUGGGCGUAAAGCGCGCGUAGGCGGCUUUGCAAGUCGGGUGUGAAAUCCCCAGGCUUAACCUGGGAACUGCAUUCGAGACUGCAUUGCUAGAGUAUGGGAGAGGGAAGUGGAAUUUCCGGUGUAGCGGUGAAAUGCGUAGAUAUCGGAAGGAACAUCAGUGGCGAAAGCGACUUCCUGGACCAAUACUGACGCUCAUGUGCGAAAGCGUGGGGAGCAAACGGG